rfam:Leeuwenhoekiella marinoflava DSM 3653 genome assembly, contig: EJ63DRAFT_scaffold00006.6
AAGAGCCGUAUGAUGGGGGACUAUCACGUACGGUUCUGUGAGAGGGGAAGGGUGAAACUCCCUUUUCCUACUCGAC